rnacentral:lncRNA from 1 species
GGAGGGCCCUGCUGUUUCCCAGUAAGUAAGUGCUUCUUACUGUGGCACUUCAUACCUAGAGUCCUUCCCUGUGCGGCCCAGUGGACCUCUGGUGGCUCUGUGGGCUCUGAGGGGCUCUCCCUGCUGCCCUGAGGACCACCUAGGCUCUGUGCACUCCUUUCUAGAUGCAAGUCCUCCUACUCGGGACCAUUCCAUCUGCACUUCCUGGCCUUUUCUCACUGUGGCUGCCCAUUGCUCCCCAGUCUUGCCUUUUAUCAUCUCCCUGGACUGUCCUCAUGUCCAUUCCUUGCCCCAUACCUUUCCUCUUCAUCCUCUGGCAUAAUCUGAUCAUGUCAUGCAUUCAUCUGAGCGCCUUCUUGGUUCCCACAGCUGGUGGACAGAAUGCUGUACUGUCCACGCAGCCACCGAGCGGCCUUGGUUCCCCUGCAUCCAUACCCUUUGCGUAGCACACAGCACAUGUUCUUUCUCCUCCUGGCCCUGACCUUGUCCCUGUGCAGUGGCUCUGUAGCUCUGCUUCCCGAGGGUGGUCUUCACGUGGUCCAAGUGCAGCAGUAGAGAAGUCCUUUCUUCCAUGCUCUGUCCCCACUCAUUCAUUUCUUGUUUUACUUUUUCAUGUUUCUUAUGCAUAGAUAAGUGUACAGGCUGGGGUGAUGGCUUAGUGGCAGAGCGCUUGCCUAGCACUGGGUGUGA